UGGCUCAGAACGAACGCUGGCGGCAGGCCUAACACAUGCAAGUCGAACGGUAACAGGAAGAAGCUUGCUUCUUUGCUGACGAGUGGCGGACGGGUGAGUAAUGUCUGGGAAACUGCCUGAUGGAGGGGGAUAACUACUGGAAACGGUAGCUAAUACCGCAUAACGUCGCAAGACCAAAGAGGGGGACCUUCGGGCCUCUUGCCAUCGGAUGUGCCCAGAUGGGAUUAGCUAGUAGUGUGGGGUAACGGCUGGGAAAAAAGACGAUCCCUAGCUGGUCUGAGAGGAUGACCAGCCAC
rnacentral:rRNA from 1 species